rnacentral:rRNA from 1 species
UACGAAGGGGGCUAGCGUUGCUCGGAAUCAUUGGGCGUAAAGCGCACGUAGGCGGACUCUUAAGUCGGUGGUGAAAUCCUGGAGCUCAACUCCAGAACUGCCUCCGAUACUGCGAGUCUCCGAGUCCGGGAGAGGUGAGUGGAACUGCGAGUGUAGAGGUGAAAUUCGUAGAUAUUCGCAAGAACACAAGUGGCGAAGGCGGCUCACUGGGCCGGUACUGACGCUGAGGUGCGAAAGCGUGGGGAGCAAACAGG